CUGAUGCUUGGCCUUCACCGGGCAUGUGCUCGCUCCGAGUCUAUUUAUCUUCUCUUGUGCACCUCUUGUAGUCUUUGAGAAAGUGGAACCYCUCGCAGCGAUGCGGUAUGGGGGGACUUGGGCCUCACACGCCCUUCCCCUGCUUGCUUUCUUCAAGGCUAUGUUUUCAUAUACACUAUAAAGUUACAGAAUGUCUUUUAACGAUUGUCGUUCACGCGCAGUCAUUAAACCUAUACAACUUUCAGCAACGGAUCUCUUGGCUCUCCCAUCGAUGAAGAACGCAGCGAAAUGCGAUAAGUAAUGUGAAUUGCAGAAUUCAGUGAAUCAUCGAAUCUUUGAACGCACCUUGCGCCCUUUGGUAUUCCGAAGGGCAUGCCUGUUUGAGUGUCAUUAAAUUCUCAACCUUGCUCGCUUUUACCGGCUUGAGUGAGGCUUGGAUGUGAGGGCUUUGCUGGCUUCCUUCAGUGGAUGGUCUGCUCCCUUCAAAUGCAUUAGUGGGAUCUCUUGUGGACCGUCACUUGGUGUGAUAAUUAUCUAUGCCUCGUCGACCUUGAAGCAAAAUUUAUGGGAACCUGCUUAUAACCGUCUCGCAAGGGACAAAAAU
rnacentral:rRNA from 1 species